GAACGGUAGUUCCGAUUUAUCGGAAUGAGAGUGGCGCACGGGUGCGUAACGCGUAUGCAACCUACCCUAUACAGGGGGAUAGCCCGGAGAAAUCUGGAUUAAUACCCCAUGGUACCAAGUUGAGGCAUUUUGAUUUGGUUAAAGAUUCAUCGGUAUAGGAUGGGCAUGCGUCUGAUUAGCUAGUUGGCGGUGUAACGGACCACCAAGGCGACGAUCAGUAGGGGUUCUGAGAGGAAGGUCCCCCACACUGGCACUGAGAUACGGGCCAGACUCCUACGGGAGGCAGCAGUAGGGAAUAUUGGGCAAUGGACGAGAGUCUGACCCAGCCAUGCCGCGUGCAGGAAGACGGCGUUCUGCGUUGUAAACUGCUUUUAUCUGGGAAGAAAAGGCCCAUGCGUGGGACAUUGCCGGUACCAGAUGAAUAAGCACCGGCUAACUCCGUGCCAGCAGCCGCGGUAAUACGGAGGGUGCAAGCGUUGUCCGGAUUUAUUGGGUUUAAAGGGUGCGUAGGCGGCUAUUUAAGUCAGUGGUGAAAGACUCCGGCUCAACCGGGGCAGUGCCAUUGAUACUGGAUAGCUUGAGUAUUGGAGGGGUACAUGGAAUUGAUGGUGUAGCGGUGAAAUGCAUAGAUACCAUCAGGAACACCGAUAGCGAAGGCAUUGUACUGGCCAAUAACUGACGCUGAUGCACGAAAGCAUGGGGAGCGAACAGGAUUAGAUACCCUGGUAGUCCAUGCCGUAAACGAUGAUUACUCGCUGUUAUGUCUUUAUGAUGUAGCGGCCAAGCGAAAGCGUUAAGUA
rnacentral:rRNA from 1 species